rnacentral:piRNA from 1 species
UAACACCGAAAACAAGUCAAAAUGAAAA